rnacentral:rRNA from 1 species
UACGUAGGGUGCAAGCGUUGUCCGGAAUUAUUGGGCGUAAAGAGCUCGUAGGCGGUUUGUCGCGUCUGCUGUGAAAACUCGGGGCUUAACCCCGGGCCUGCAGUGGGUACGGGCAGACUAGAGUGCGGUAGGGGAGAUUGGAAUUCCUGGUGUAGCGGCGGAAUGCGCAGAUAUCAGGAGGAACACCGAUGGCGAAGGCAGAUCUCUGGGCCGUUACUGACGCUGAGGAGCGAAAGCGUGGGGGAGCGAACAGG